rnacentral:rRNA from 1 species
UCGGGAAUUUUGGGCAAUGGGCGAAAGCCUGACCCAGCAACGCCGCGUGAAGGAUGAAGUAUUUCGGUAUGUAAACUUCGUAAGAAUAGGAAGAAUAAAUGACGGUACUAUUUAUAAGGUCCGGCUAACUACGUGCCAGCAGCCGCGGUAAUACGUAGGGACCAAGCGUUGUUCGGAUUUACUGGGCGUAAAGGGCGCGUAGGCGGCAAUUCAAGUCAUCUGUGAAAUCUCCGGGCUUAACUCGGAACGGUCAGAUGAUACUGCUUUGCUAGAGUGCAGAAGGGGCAAUCGGAAUUCUUGGUGUAGCGGUGAAAUGCGUAGAUAUCAAGAGGAACACCUGAGGUGAAGACGGGUUGCUGGGCUGACACUGACGCUGAGGCGCGAAAGCCAGGGGAGCAAACGGGGAUUAGAUACCCAAGUAGUCCCUGAGCGGGCUGGCAAGGCGC